UACGUAGGGUGCGAGCGUUGUCCGGAAUUAUUGGGCGUAAAGAGCUCGUAGGCGGUGUGUCGCGUCGGUCGUGAAAACUUGGGGCUUAACUCUGAGCUUGCGGUCGAUACGGGCAGACUUGAGUUCGGUAGGGGAGACUGGAAUUCCCGGUGUAGCGGUGGAAUGCGUAGAGAUCCGGAAGAACACCGGUGGCGAAGGCGGCCUG
rnacentral:rRNA from 1 species